GUCGUGUCAUCUCCUGUGGCCUCUUCCUCUGUGUGAGGCGUGUCUGUGCAGUGCUUGUGGAGACAGCCGCUGUGUCUGCAGGUGGCACAGCAGUGGGACGUGUGAGCCGUUUGGGAGGUGUGGUGUGGGCAGCAGAGGGUGCUGUGCGCUCCUGUGCAUCACUCUGCAUCGCCACUGAGCCCCUGCUGUGUGACGUGGGCAUCCCCACGCACUGUCGAUCCUGGCUCCAGGACUGGAGUCGUUCUCUGGCAUCCACACUACCGUGAGGGCUGAACUGCGUGUCUUUGAGAACAACCUGAGGGCUCGAUCGCAGUGCAGCUUGAGGGACCUGGAUUACUGUGGCCCUUCCGUCAACCCCAUGGGGCGUGGUUGCAGACAAGUACCGCACUCCUCCUCCUCCAGGACUGCAAGGCCCACCCUGUGCUGCCCACAUGAAGGAGAGGACCCAGGUACACAUGGCAAAACCGUGAAGUUACUUCAGACACAUGUGG
rnacentral:lncRNA from 1 species